UGGCUGUGAAGACAACAUUUCUCGAUGCUGAGUUUUGGAUAUGUAUGCUGAAUUUUAUGCGUGUCUGAGCUGC